ACGCACGCUGGCGGUGUGCUUAACACAUGCAAGUCGAACGGUAAGGCCCUUUCGGGGGUACACGAGUGGCGAACGGGUGAGUAACACGUGAGUAACCUGCCCUCAUCUCUGGGAUAACAGUCGGAAACGGUUGCUAAUACUGGAUAUGAGCUUGCAAGGCAUCUUGUGGGUUGGAAAGAUUUUUUUGGUUGGGGAUGGACUCGCGGCCUAUCAGCUUGUUGGUGAGGUAGUGGCUCACCAAGGCUUCGACGGGUAGCCGGCCUGAGAGGGCGACCGGCCACAUUGGGACUGAGAUACGGCCCAAACUCCUACGGGAGGCAGCAGUGGGGAAUAUUGCACAAUGGACGGAAGUCUGAUGCAGCAACGCCGCGUGCGGGAUGACGGCCUUCGGGUUGUAAACCGCUUUCAAUUGUGACGAAGCUUUUUGUGACGGUAGCAGUAGAAGAAGCACCGGCUAACUACGUG
rnacentral:rRNA from 1 species